AGAAUUCAGUGAAUCAUCGAGUUUUUGAACGCACCUUGCGCUCCUUGGUAUUCCUUGGAGCAUGCCUGUUUGAGUGUCA
rnacentral:rRNA from 1 species